rnacentral:rRNA from 1 species
CACUCCUACGGGAGGCAGCAGUGGGGAAUUUUGGACAAUGGGCGAAAGCCUGAUCCAGCAAUGCCGCGUGUGUGAAGAAGGCCUUCGGGUUGUAAAGCACUUUUGUCCGGAAAGAAAUCCUUGGCUCUAAUACAGUCGGGGGAUGACGGUACCGGAAGAAUAAGCACCGGCUAACUACGUGCCAGCAGCCGCGGUAAUACGUAGGGUGCGAGCGUUAAUCGGAAUUACUGGGCGUAAAGCGUGCGCAGGCGGUUUGCUAAGACCGAUGUGAAAUCCCCGGGCUCAACCUGGGAACUGCAUUGGUGACUGGCAGGCUAGAGUAUGGCAGAGGGGGGUAGAAUUCCACGUGUAGCAGUGAAAUGCGUAGAGAUGUGGAGGAAUACCGAUGGCGAAGGCAGCCCCCUGGGCCAAUACUGACGCUCAUGCACGAAAGCGUGGGGAGCAAACAGGAUUAGAUACCCGGGUAGUCCC